rfam:Leminorella grimontii ATCC 33999 = DSM 5078 strain ATCC 33999 GLGR.assembly.07, whole genome shotgun sequence.
AAGUUAAGGAUCGUCAUCAGGAUGAUGACGGGACAGUUUAAGGAAGAAAUCCAGGACACCUCCAGGACGGAGAACGAAUACUUACCGGAGCGUAAGGGGUCAGGACGACAAUCAGGGAAAGGCAUCUGGAUGAUGCAAAAGCCGCUCGGGAUUGAGCAGGCGCUUCAAAGGAACGUCGGUCAGGAAGACCAGAAGGAAAAGUUUUCAAGGAUUGAACAGGGAAGUAAAGCGAGUAGCCGGAUUGCUAUAAAACGAACUAAGCCCACUGUGUAUACAGUGGGCUUUUUUUAUGCC